UGGGCUGGGGCUCAGCGGUAGAGUGCUCGCCUAACAUGUGUGAGGCACUGGGUUCAAUCCUCAGCACCACAU
rfam:Ictidomys tridecemlineatus contig071319, whole genome shotgun sequence.